AUUGAACGCUGGCGGCAGGCCUAACACAUGCAAGUCGAGCGAGCGGCGGACGGGUGAGUAAUGUCUGGGACACUGCCUGAUGGAGGGGGAUCACUACUGGAAACGGUAGCUAAUACCGCAUACCAUCAGAUGUGCCCAGAGGGGAUUAGCUAGUAGGUUGGGUAACGGCUAACCUAGGCGAAGAUCCCUAGAUGGUCUGAGAGGAUGACCAGCCAAACUGGAACGGAGACACGGUCCAGACUCCUACGGGAGGCAGCAGUGGGGAAUAGUGCACAAGGGGCGAAAGCCUGAUGCAGCAAUGCCGCGUGUGUGAAGAAGGCCUUCGGGUUGUAAAGCACUUUCAGCGGGGAGGCGUUACCCGCAGAAGAAGCACCGGCUAACUCCGUGCCAGCAGCCGCGGUAAUAC
rnacentral:rRNA from 1 species